UCGGCCUCCCAAAGUGCUGGGAUUACACUCUUCCAUGUUUUUUAAAAUCUCUAGUUCUCCAACUUGGGCAGGCACCAGAACUCCCCGAGGCCUUGUCAGGAGGCAGUGGCUAGGCCCCUCCCCAGGGUGUUGGAGCCAAGAGGGCUGGGUGGGCUGGAGCUGGUGGAGCUGGGCCCCCAGCAAGCUUUCCUGCCGCUGCUGCUGCUCACUGGAGGCCUGUGCACAUGUCCCUCCCAAGGCCUAGGGAGCUCCUGGCAUGGAGGAGGCAGAUGAGUGGGUGUGUCUGGGGACCACACCUCGGCCACUGGGCUCCAGCCCCACGGUGUGCAGCCUGUCCUGUCUGGUCUUCCUGUAGCCUUUGCCCCCAGAUCCAGUGGCCAUGGACACCACCUCUGCCUCAGCCCGCCCCCCAGCCUCCUGCACUCAGUCCUGCAGACCCCACAACUGCGGCCCUGCCUCGCUGACCUAAGGCCUUUGCAUGUGUCCCUCCCAAGGCCUGGGGAACUCCUAAGCAGCCCACAGGAUUCCGCUCCAGGGUCACCUUAUCCAGAGUGCCCUUCCCGUUCCUCCGCCCCAGCAUGUGCGGUGCCACCCUAAUCAGCAUGCCUGUCACUCUGAUUGUUUGCAGAUGUGUCUCUCCUCACUACACCAUGAGAAAGAAGUACCUGAAGGACCCGAGAUUAAUGACGCUGUGCUGAGUGCUGGGCUCUCCGCACUGCACAUGGCUCGCACGAGCCUCCUGAGCAGUGUUCAAAAAGGGCCAAGGAGCCCAGCCUCCAUGCAGGUGUGCGGCCUCUGUGCAGGGGUGCGGCCUCCAUGCAGGUGUGCAGCCUCCGUGCAGGUGUGGGACUUCUGUGCAGGGGUGCGGGCCCCAGGGUCAGCAGCACAAAGGUGUCGGACUCUCCCCCUGUGGCAUCAUCUACCUCCUUGUCUAAACCUUGCCUUCCUUUUAGGUAUAAACGGAGUGUGGCAGGUGGCAGCCAGAAGAGAGAACGUGGUUGGAGCUGGCCGCAGCCAUCCUGGAUCAAUCUGUUGCUAACAACAGCAGUCUUUUCAAGGGAAGGUGUUCUCCAGCCACCUCGGGAAGCGAAGAAUUUACGGACAGGCCUGAGAAACACCAAGAUGCCUAAUGGAGAG
rnacentral:lncRNA from 1 species